rnacentral:ncRNA from 1 species
UGGGGAGUGGUUGUAGAGUGUAUUGUGGGUGUAUGGAGCAUGAGAUUGAGGAGGUCGAGGUCCAAGGUGCUAAAAAACCUUGUCUGACACUGUGGGUGCUGUAGGUGAGCAGACACCCAUAUAUGGCAUGCCACCUUCCAAAAAUGGAAGUGGACCCUGAAAAUAUAAAAGAUGGAGUCUUAUCUGAGGUUCAAUAAUCUUCGAUCAGAAUUUGAUUUGGUGCAAUAUUCACCGAGAAAAACGCAAAAUACGUUCCCAGACGCGAGUCUUUUUGCGAAAAAAAAUCGGGAAAGUGCGGAAAAAAAUCCAGACAUGAUCAGAGAAAAUCCGGGGACAUCCAAACACCUUACCAGAGGCCAUUGCAGCACCCAGGGCCCACAUCCAAGCAAGGCAGCAGGCGCGCAAAUUACCCAAUCCCGACACGGGGAGGUAGUGACAAUAAAUAACAAUAUAGGGCUCUUUUGGGUCUUAUAAUUGGAAUGAGUACAAUUUAAAUCCCUUAACGAGGAACAAUUGGAGGGCAAGUCUGGUGCCAGCAGCCGCGGUAAUUCCAGCUCCAAUAGCGUAUAUU